rnacentral:rRNA from 1 species
UACGUAGGGUGCAAGCGUUAAUCGGAAUUACUGGGCGUAAAGCGUGCGCAGGCGGUUUUGUAAGUCUGUCGUGAAAGCCCCGGGCUUAACCUGGGAAUUGCGAUGGAGACUGCAAGGCUUGAAUCUGGCAGAGGGGGGUAGAAUUCCACGUGUAGCAGUGAAGUGCGUAGAUAUGUGGAGGAACGCCGAUGGCGAAGGCAGCCCCCUGGGUCAAAACUGACGCUCAUGCACGAAAGCGUGGGGAGCAAACAGG